UACGAAGGGGGCUAGCGUUGUUCGGAAUCACUGGGCGUAAAGGGCGCGUAGGCGGCUUUAUAAGUCGGGGGUGAAAGCCUGUGGCUCAACCACAGAAUUGCCUUCGAUACUGUAGAGCUUGAGACCGGAAGAGGUAAGUGGAACUGCGAGUGUAGAGGUGAAAUUCGUAGAUAUUCGCAAGAACACCAGUGGCGAAGGCGGCUUGACUGGUCCGGUUCUGACGCUGAGGCGCGAAAGCGUGGGGAGCAAACAGGG
rnacentral:rRNA from 1 species